rnacentral:rRNA from 1 species
AGUCGAGCGGAUGAGAAGAGCUUGCUCUUCGAUUCAGCGGCGGACGGGUGAGUAAUACCUAGGAAUCUGCCUGGUAGUGGGGGACAACGUUUCGAAAGGAACGCUAAUACCGCAUACGUCCUACGGGAGAAAGCAGGGGACCUUCGGGCCUUGCGCUAUCAGAUGAGCCUAGGUCGGAUUACCUAGUUGGUGAGGUAAUGGCUCACCAAGGCUACGAUCCGUAACUGGUCUGAGAGGAUGAUCCAGUCACACUGGAACUGACACACGGUCCAGACUCCUACGGGAGGCAGCAGUGGGGAAUAUUGGACAAUGGGCGAAAGCCUGAUCCAGCCAUGCCGCGUGUGUGAAGAAGGUCUUCGGAUUGUAAAGCACUUUAAGUUGGGAGGAAGG